GAUGAACGCUGGCGGCGUGCCUAAUACAUGCAAGUCGAGCGAACAGACGAGGAGCUUGCUCCUCUGACGUUAGCGGCGGACGGGUGAGUAACACGUGGAUAACCUACCUAUAAGACUGGGAUAACUUCGGGAAACCGGAGCUAAUACCGGAUAAUAUAUUGAACCGCAUGGUUCAAUAGUGAAAGACGGUUUUGCUGUCACUUAUAGAUGGAUCCGCGCCGCAUUAGCUAGUUGGUAAGGUAACGGCUUACCAAGGCAACGAUGCGUAGCCGACCUGAGAGGGUGAUCGGCCACCCUGGAACUGAGACACGGCCCAGACUCCUACGGGAGGCAGCAGUAGGGAAUCUUCCGCAAUGGGCGAAAGCUUGACGGAGCAACGCCGCGUGAGUGAUGAAGGUCUUCGGAUCGUAAAACUCUGUUAUUAGGGAAGAACAAAUGUGUAAGUAACUAUGCACGUCGUGACGGUACCUAAUCAGAAAGCCACGGCUAACUACGUG
rnacentral:rRNA from 1 species